CGCGUAGGCGGCCCGUCAAGUCCCGUGUGAAAGCCCCCGGCUCAACCGGGGAACUGCACGGGAAACUAGCAGGCUUGAGUUCGGGAGAGGGAAGCGGAAUUUCGGGUGUAGCGGUGAAAUGCGCAGAUAUCCGAAGGAACACCGGUGGCGAAGGCGGCUUCCUGGACCGACACUGACGCUGAGGCGCGAAAGCUAGGGGAGCAAACGGGAUUAGAUACCCCGGUAGUCCUAGCCCUAAACGAUGAGAACUGGGUGUAGGGGGUAUGAACCCCCCCUGUGCCGAAGCUAACGCAUUAAGUUCUCCGCCUGGGGAGUACGGUCGCAAGGCUGAA
rnacentral:rRNA from 1 species